UACGUAGGGUGCAAGCGUUGUUCGGAUUCAUUGGGCGUAAAGGGUGCGUAGGCGGCGCGGUAAGUCGGGUGUGAAAUUUCGAGGCUUAACUUCGAAACUGCAUUCGAUACUGCCGUGCUUGAGGACUGGAGAGGAGACUGGAAUUUACGGUGUAGCGGUGAAAUGCGUAGAUAUCGGGAGGAACACCAAUGGCGAAGGCAGCUCGCUGGGACGGUACUGACACUGAGACGCGAAAGCGUGGGGAGCAAACAGG
rnacentral:rRNA from 1 species